rnacentral:rRNA from 2 species
CAYACRUGCAAGUCGAGCGAACUGAUUAGAAGCUUGCUUCUAUGACGUUAGCGGCGGACGGGUGAGUAACACGUGGGCAACCUGCCUGUAAGACUGGGAUAACUUCGGGAAACCGAAGCUAAUACCGGAUAGGAUCUUCUCCUUCAUGGGAGAUGAUUGAAAGAUGGUUUCGGCUAUCACUUACAGAUGGGCCCGCGGUGCAUUAGCUAGUUGGUGAGGUAACGGCUCACCAAGGCAACGAUGCAUAGCCGACCUGAGAGGGUGAUCGGCCACACUGGGACUGAGACACGGCCCAGACUCCUACGGGAGGCAGCAGUAGGGAAUCUUCCGCAAUGGACGAAAGUCUGACGGAGCAACGCCGCGUGAGUGAUGAAGGCUUUCGGGUCGUAAAACUCUGUUGUUAGGGAAGAACAAGUACRAGAGUAACUGCUUGUACCUUGACGGUACCUAACSAGAAAGCCACGGCUAACUACGUGCCAGCAGCCGCGGUA